rnacentral:rRNA from 1 species
UACGUAUGGUGCAAGCGUUAUCCGGAUUUACUGGGUGUGAAGGGAGCGCAGGCGGCACGGCAAGCCUGAUGUGAAAGCCCGCGGCCCAACCGCGGGACUGCAUUGGGAACUACCGGGCUGGAGUGCCGGAGAGGUAGGCGGAAUCCCUAGUGUAGCGGUGAAAUGCGUAGAUAUUAGGAGGAACACCAGUGGCGAAGGCGGCUUACUGGACGGCAACUGACGCUGAGGCUCGAAAGCGUGGGGAGCAAACAGG